UGCGAGGCCAUCGCAGCUACGGCACAGUCAUCUCUUGCACUCGUUCCUGCAACAUCACAACCAUGGUUUCUCGCGUCGUGUUGGUCGUGCUGGCGGUGGUCGUCCUAGCGGCCGCAGCAGUGGCUCUCCCUGACCCCACGAAACGGCACUUGGGAUACGGCUUGUACGGAGGAUACGGAGGAUACGGCCUCGGAGGAUUUGGCUUGGGAGGCUACGGAGGCUACGGAGGCUACGGCUAUGGAUCCCACUAUCCCUAUUACGGAUCCUACUACGGAUAGAGGAUGGUGCAUCACGUGUUAAGUUAUCUCUGUAUCUUCGUCUUCAGUAUAAAUGUUCUUGGCGGAGUGGUGGCAAUUCCUCAGGUUUUUUGCAUCUGUAUCCAUGAUGAUAAUAAAGAAUUUCUUCUAUA